GGAACUCACUGACUGUGACAUCAUGACCUGAGCCGAAGUCAGACACUUAACUGACUGAGCUUCCCAGGUGCCCCAGCAGCCUAUAAUUCAUUAUUAAGCAAGGAAUGACAUAGUAAGGAGAUUGCAUAUAGACUGUGGGUGGGGCCUGUCGUGAGAAGGCCUCUCUGAUGGAGGCCGACAGAAUAGGAAGCAAAGUGGCCACAGAAAACCUGCCCAGAAGCCAGAGGGAGGGAAGGAAUGAGAGAAGGGGGGGUAGUGAAGAGAUGGCAGGACCAGGUCAGAGGGGCUUGCAGACAUGGUUUAACCUUUUGGCCUCUUUUCUGAGGGCAGCUUAACACGACUGAAACUCUCUCAUGGAGCCACUUGGGAAAACAGUUUGGAAGUUCCUCAAAGACUUAAGUAUAGAGUUACCAUAUGACCCAGUAAGGCCACUCCUACUCAUACACCCAAGAGAAAUGAAACAGAGGUCCACAAAAACGGGCCUGUUACAGUAGCAUUAUUUGUAUGAGCCCAAAGCGGGACACAACCCACAUGCCCAUCAACAGUGACUGGACACACACAAUGGGAUAUUAUUCAACCAAAAUAAGGAAGGAAGCCUGGGCACCCCGCCACAACAUGGAUGAACCUUGAACACACGCUAAGUGAAAAAAGCCAGACACAAAAGGCUGCAUGACUUAUUCCACAACAGUUCCUAAACCCUCGCAUCGCCAAGUCAGUUCAGUGAAUUCCAGCUUUCCUGUCCCAAGCCAGACACCUGCUGGGCUCCAACCGGUGGCGGGGGGCUGAUUGCGUGGCUGGUGGGGGUGCGUUCCAGUUCUCAUUCCUCAAACUUGAUCUCUGCCCUGUGACCUACAACUGGGACUGAGGCAAGAGAAGCUCAAAGCAGCACCCAGCACAGAAUCUGGAACAAUCAUUCGGGCUGGACCAAAUAUGCCCAUAAGAUCCCAAGCAGCGACGUUAAGAGGGAGAUGUCACCACUGUCUGACCACGGAGAGAGACAAUGCUUGUACCCAAGAGUACCGAUGGCUGGCCCUUUGUUCCUGACAGAUAUUGCCGGGGUUCAGAAGGACAAGGCUAGAACUCACCAAACAAACCCCAACUCUGAUUUCCAUGAGGCCACAUGGGGAAGAAUACACUAUGCAGCAGACACACGGAGCGUGAGAACUGCCUCCAAGCAGGAGGCAGGGUGCUGCACCGUGACUCCUUUCAGAACGUCUUAGAGGUCAAGUUGGAGCCACAGAAGGAAAGCAGCAACAUGUGUUAAAUUGAGAGAAUCGGAAGGUUUCACGUGGGGUCUUUCAUUCAAAUCAAACCCCAAAACGUCGUGAUUGUCUAAACUCCAUGGGAGUCCCUAAGCAUACUGAUUUUUAGAAGAUGAAAAAUAGAGAACUGAGAUUUCACAGUAGAAAUGACUUUCAAUCAACAGUUCAAGGUCAGACAUCCUCCAAAUGCUAAACCUCACCAAAAAGAUACAAGAAAUGGAGUGAUUCGAUUGAUAACUUUGAGAGAGAGAGACAGACAGAGACAGAGACAGAGACAGAGAGAGGAGGUAGAUUAAUUUCCCCAGACAACUCACUCCCAAGGAAGCAAAUAAGACCAUUCUUGCUGGAAAUGAACCCCCAUCACUUUGUCUUUUUCAACAGCAGCUGCCUCAUUAGCUUGGGUUUAUCAAAUAGUAUGUGUGAGACACUGUGUGAUCCCAACUACUGUCUCUUCAAUCUCUCCGAUUAGUCUCUGGGAUGGACACGUGCCUUAUUAUCCCUAGUACAAAAGGAGAAACUGAGGCUGACUGAAGCCACCUUCAGUAAUCUUUCCUGCGGCUAAAUUCCAAUGACCCAAAUCCAAACAGAAGCAGCAUAGACUAUGUUGGAAGAGGCAGGACAAAGCUUGGGUUCCGGUCCCAGCCCUGUUGCUUGCUAGCCAGGUGACCUUGAGAAAAUCACUGUGUCUUUUUGGGCCUCAGUUUCCUCAUUUAUGAGUGGGAGCAUUGCUGGGGUCAACAGGAUUCUCUGAAGCUCUUGGCUGGCUGUCGCUGCCAUGUGUCUUGAAGGGCCUUCAGGGAAGUUGGAAGAUGGCCCAAUCCCAGUGACUUUGGACUUGGCCAUGGAAUUUGCUUUGGUCAAAAGAAUUCAAGCAGAUGUGAUGUACGCAAAGGCUUCAGAUGUGUUGACGUGGGCUGGCUCAUGUCACAUCUGCUUGACUUUCAUUGGUCAUCCACUGCUAUCCAGUAUGCUAGGGUUUCUCGGCUUCAGUCCUCUUGACAUUUGGGAUAAAGUUUUCAUUGUGGGGGCGUCCUGAGCACUGUGGGAUGUCUAGCAACACCCUUAGCUUCUGCACCCUUUCUCCCACUUGUGACAACAAAAAAAUCUCCGGGAAUUGCCCAAUGAUCUUUGGGGAACAAAACCACUCCUGCCUGAGAGCCCUUCUAGUAUGUUCUUGGAGUUGGGCAGCCACUUGUUUAAGGAGAGAGAGGAAGCCCGUGAACCAUAAGCCGACCUAGAGCCCAGUCCAGCACAUAUGGACCUCAGCUGACCAGCAGAUAUGUGGGCAAGAAACCUACGUACUUAUGGUUGUAAACCACUGUGAUUUUGAAGUUUGUCUUGCAGAAAACCCUCUAACAUUCUAGCCAUGAGGGCAACAGCAAAUAUGUGGUAGAAUUCCAUACACUGUGCCUGAGUACAGUGGUAUUUUCUGCUGGUAUUAUGAAUAUUGUUAGACUCUGUUUAGAUUGCCUUAUGAAGUGAUUUAGUGUGUGAUGCAUCUCACCUGUGUCUUGCAGAGUCAUCCCCUGAAGCCUUCUAAGCAACCCUCACCACUCUGCUCCAUGGACCACAUUCCCUGGUAUCUCGGACUGCAUCCAACCACCCUACGUGUGCCCGCUCCCACUUCUGGAGGAGCCUCCGUGGCCAGGCUGCUCUUCUCCAGUUCUAGGGCAGCCUCGACUGUCUUUUGUGUUCCUCCCCCUUUCUCCCAGUUUAGGAUGAACCAAAAAUCCAGAGCUGUGACACAUAGGAAAUAGUUUAAAAUAGAUGCUCCUUGAAUCUGGUCAGCAUACCUAUUACAGUGGCUAAUUACUCAGUAUCUGUAUGUAUGUUUUAAUGUGUGAAUUCCAAAUACUGACUUCCCAUAAGGGCAAGGACGAUUUUGUAUCUGUUUUGCUUUUUAUGCAAAGCUAGAACCUAGCACCAUUCCUGGCAUGGAAUCCUGGUGGACUGAACGGAUGGGUGAGUAAAUGAGCUGAGAGAACAUUCACUCUUCAUAGCAAGCACACAAAUAAUUUAGAGAUAAACUGAUGGCCACCUCAGAACCUUGUUUAAAUCAUGCAAGGUCCGAAAGAGUCCCCCAGAGUAAAUGUCACCAGAGAAUGUGGAAACACUCAGAACUCUGAUAGAAGAAUACAUUU